GACGAACGCUGGCGGCGUGCUUAACACAUGCAAGUCGAACGGGAUCCGGGCUUUCGGGUUUGGUGAGAGUGGCGAACGGGUGAGUAACACGUGAGUAACCUGCCCCCUUCUUUGGGAUAACGUCGGGAAAUCGGCGCUAAUACUGGAUAUUCUUGCUGCAUCGCAUGGUGUGGUUUGGAAAGGGUUUCUGGUGGGGGAUGGGCUCGCGGCCUAUCAGCUUGUUGGUGGGGUGAUGGCCUACCAAGGCUUUGACGGGUAGCCGGCCUGAGAGGGUGUCCGGCCACACUGGGACUGAGACACGGCCCAGACUCCUACGGGAGGCAGCAGUGGGGAAUAGUGCACAAUGGGCGCAAGCCUGAUGCAGCGACGCCGCGUGAGGGAUGACGGCCUUCGGGUGGUAAACCUCUUUCAGUAUGGAACAAGGAUCCUUCUUUUGGGGGGUUUGAGGGUACGUGCAGAAGAAGCGCCGGCUAACUACGUG
rnacentral:rRNA from 1 species